UUCCCUCCGAAAUUUCCCUCAGGAUAGCUGCAAUCGAAUGUCAACUUUAUCAGGUAAAGCGAAUGAUUAGAGGAUUCGGGGACGGAAUGUCCUCGACCUAUUCUCAAACUUUAAAUAGGUAAGAGGGUGCGGCUGCUCCAUUGAGCCGCGCCGUGGAAUCGAGAGCUCCAAGUGGGCCAUUUUUGGUAAGCAGAACUGGCGAUGCGGGAUGAACC
rnacentral:rRNA from 1 species